GGCAGAUCCAGCCACACUAAGGAUGAGAGAAAGAGUCAAAUCUUUACCUCUCUGGUGUCCCUGUGGGUGGCCAGCUGUGGACCUCCUGAAGGCACGGUCAGUACAGACUGGGGGAAGCUGGAAUGUUACAAGCAGAAACCUGCAGGCUUCGCACUCGCUGCUGUUUGAAUGCAAACACACGGCUGUUUGCACGGCUGCACCCAACGCUCAUUUCAUGAUCACUCCAUCGCGUCUCGAUGAAUUCAAGAUAAUAUUGCGGACCUCCGAUGGAUGUUAAGCUGCUACGAUUGAAGCCGGAUGGAAUCUGAGCCUUGCAUGGAGAGAGUUUGGAGGAUCCAACAGCAACAAUCAAAGCGGGUUCAAUCCUAAAUACCAUCCAUGAACAAACACUGCGUAUUCUAGUCAUAGUGGUCUCUAACUGUAUAGAGAAGCCUUAACAGGGAA
ensembl:lncRNA